rnacentral:ncRNA from 1 species
UAUAAGGGCAAACCGGUCGAAAGGCCGGGACGCAAAGCUUCCGGUCUAAGGAUCCAUGAUCUAGGACAGCGGGGCCGCCA